rnacentral:misc_RNA from 1 species
UCCGAGUUGACCCCGGCAGUCUCCCAUGAGUCCCCGGCAUUACCCGCUGGCAACAUGGAACGAGGGUUGCGCUCGUUGCGGGACUUAACCCAACAUCUCACGACACGAGCUGACGACAGCCAUGCAGCACCUGUGUUCCGGUUCCCUUUCGGGCACAACCGCCUUUCAGCAGCCUUCCGGACAUGUCAAGGGUAGGUAAGGUUUUUCGCGUUGCAUCGAAUUAAUCCACAUAAUCCACCGCUUGUGCGGGUCCCCGUCAAUUCCUUUGAGUUUUAGCCUUGCGGCCGUACUCCCCAGGCGGGGCGCUUAGUGCGUUAGCUGCGGCAAGGAGGACGUGGAAAGUCCCCCACACCUAGCGCCCAACGUUUACGGCGUGGACUAC